rnacentral:rRNA from 1 species
AGUGGCGGACGGGUGAGUAACGCGUGAGAAUCUGCCUUGGGGUCGGGGACAACCACUGGAAACGGUGGCUAAUACCGGAUAAGCCGAUUGGUGAAAGAUUUAUUGCCCGAAGAGGAGCUCGCGUCUGAUUAGCUAGUUGGUGAGGUAAGAGCUCACCAAGGCAGCGACCAGUAGCUGGUCUGAGAGGACGAUCAGCCACACUGGGACUGAGACACGGCCCAGACUCCUACGGGAGGCAGCAGUGGGGAAUUUUCCGCAAUGGGCGAAAGCCUGACGGAGCAAGACCGCGUGAGGGAGGAAGGCUCUUGGGUUGUAAACCUCUUUUCUCAGGGAAGAAGCUCUGACGGUACCUGAGGAAUCAGCCUCGGCUAACUCCGUGCCAGCAGCCGCGGUAAUACGGAGGAGGCAAGCGUUAUCCGGAAUUAUUGGGCGUAAAGCGUCCGCAGGUGGCGAUUCAAGUCUGCUGUCAAAGCACGGGGCUUAACUCCGUAAAGGCAGUGGAAACUGAAUAGCUAGAGUGCCGUAGGGGUAGAGGGAAUUCCCGGUGUAGCGGUGAAAUGCGUAGAGAUCGGGAAGAACAUCGGUGGCGAAAGCGCUCUACUGGACGGCAACUGACACUCAGGGACGAAAGCUAGGGGAGCGAAUGGGAUUAGAUACCCC